AGGGCCGGCCGCCGAGGGUUUUGGUCUAAUAAAAGCGCUCCUCCCUCGCGGACGGCUCAUUAAAUCAGAUAUAACUCAUUGGAUCUCUGCCGAACCGCACUACUUGGAUAACUGUGGUAAUUCUAGAGCUAAUACAUGCCUUUGUAGUCUCCGACCGCGAGGGAGGAGCGCUUUUAUUAGACCAAAACCCUCGGCGGCCGGCCCUUCAACCGGCCGGCCGCGAUCUCCUUGGUGAAUCAGAAUAACUUUGGCCGAGCGCACGACCCCUCCCGCAACCCGGGUUGGGUCGGCGCCGCGUCCUGCAGGCGUCUGCCUUAUCAGCUCUCGAUUGUAGGUUAAACGCCUACAAUGGCUAUCACGGGUAACGGGGAAUCAGGGUUCGAUUCCGGAGAGGGAGCCUGAGAAACGGCUACCACAUCUAAGGAAGGCAGCAGGCGCGCAAAUUACCCACUCCCGGCACGGGGAGGUAGUGACGAAAAAUACUGUUGCGAGCCCCGAACGGGGCCUCGCAAUUGGAAUGAGUACACUUUAAAUCCUUGUACGAGGAUCGAGUGGAGGGCAAGUCUGGUGCCAGCCGCCGCGGUAAUUCCAGCUCCACUAGCGUAUAUUAAAGUUGUUGCGGUUGAAACGCUCGUAGUUUGACUUCUGCUCCGGACCGGCGGUCCGCCUUAGCGGCGGCUACUGCCGGGUUCCGAGCUGUGUCCCCGCCGGCGCGCACGGGGUUUUUUAUGCCCUUAACCGGGUGUCCCCCUGUGGCCGGCACGUUUACUUUGAAAAAAUUAGAGUGCUCAGAGCAGGCUGGUCUUUGCUUACAGCCCGAAUGGUCGUGCAUGGAAUGAUGGAACAGGACCUCGGUUCUAUUUUGUCGGUUUUUCGGAACCCGAGGAAAGAUUAAUAGAAGCAGACGGGGGCAUUCGUACUGCGACGCUAGAGGUGAAAUUCUUAGACCGUCGCAUGACGACCUACUGCGAAAGCAUCUGCCAAGGAUGUUUUCAUUGAUCAAGAACGAAAGUUAGAGGUUCGAAGGCGAUCAGAUACCGCCCUAGUUCUAACCUUAAACGAUGCUGACUAGCGAUCCGCCGCAGUUAUUCCCAUGACCCGGCGGGUAGCUUCCGGGAAACCAAAGUCUUUGAGUUCCGGGGGAAGUAUGGUUGCAAAGCUGAAACUUAAAGGAAUUGACGGAAGGGCACCACCAGGAGUGGAGCCUGCGGCUCAAUUUGACCCAACACGGGGAAACUCACCAGGCCAGGACACCGGAAGGAUUGACAGAAUGAAGGCUCUUUCUCGAUUCGGUGGGUGGUGGUGCAUGGCGUUCUUAGUUGGGGGAGGGAUCUGUUUGGUUAAUUCCGAUAACGAACGAGACUCUAGCCUGCUAAAUAGUCGACGGGUCUCUCGCCCAGCCUUCGCCCUCGGGCGUGGGCUCGGGUUCCCCUAAACCCGGCCGUCGCGCGGGCCUCCGCCGUCGGUUGGUUAGCGCCGCCGGCGGCGCGCCCCGCGGCGCCGGAAACUGGCGUCCGCUUCGCAGUCUUCUUCUUAGAGGGAUAAGCGGCAGCAAAAAAUAUACUAGCCGCACGAGAGUUUGAGCCAUAACAGGUCUGUGAUGCCCUUAGAUGUUCUGGGCCGCACGCGCGCUACAAUGGAGAGUUCAGCGAGCUGUCCCUGCUCCGAGAGGAGCGGGUAACCUCGUGAAAGCUGUCCUUAAAGGGGAUUGGGGCUUGCAAAUGUUCCCCAUGAACGAGGAAUUCCCAGUAGGCGCAAUUCACCAGAUUGCGCCGAUUUAGUCCCUGCCCUUUGUACACACCGCCCGUCGCUACUACCGAUUGAAUGGUCUAGUGAGGGCACCGGACUGGCGCCCUUGGAGCCGCUACCGCCGCCUCGGCGGCGGCCAGCGCCCUCGGGUCGACGGAAAGGUGUCCAAGCUGGGUCAUUUAGAGGAAGUAAAAGUCGUAACAAGGUUUCCGUAGGUGAACCUGCGGAAG
rnacentral:rRNA from 1 species